rnacentral:rRNA from 1 species
GAAUUCGCCCUUAGAGUUUGCUUCUGGCUCAGGACGAACGCUGGCGGCGUGCCUAACACAUGCAAGUCGAGCGGAGUUACAUGAGGAGUAAUCUGAGUGUAACUGAGCGGCGGACGGGUGAGUAACGCGUGAGCAACCUGCCUUUUACAGGGGAAUAACGCACCGAAAGGUGCACUAAUACCGCAUGAGACCACAUCCUCGCAUGGGGGAGGGGUCAAAGGAGCAAUCCGGUAGAAGAUGGGCUCGCGUCCGAUUAGGUAGUUGGUGGGGUAACGGCUCACCAAGCCUGAGAUCGGUAGCCGACCUGAGAGGGUGAUCGGCCACACUGGAACUGAGAGACGGUCCAGACUCCUACGGGAGGCAGCAGUGGGGAAUAUUGGGCAAUGGGGGAAACCCUGACCCAGCAACGCCGCGUGAGGGAAGAAGGUUUUCGGAUUGUAAACCUCUGUUCUUGGAGAAGAGAAGAAGACGGUAUCCAAGGAGGAAGCCCCGGCUAACUACGUGCCAGCAGCCGCGGUAAUACGUAGGGGGCGAGCGUUGUCCGGAAUAAUUGGGCGUAAAGGGCGCGUAGGCGGCCUUACAAGUCAGUAGUGGAAGUCCCAUUUUUAAGGUGGGGAGGGCUAUUGAAACUGUAGGGCUUGAGUGCAGGAGAGGUUAUCGGAAUUCCCGGUGUAGCGGUGAAAUGCGUAGAGAUCUGGAAGAACACCAGUGGCGAAGGCGGGUAACUGGCCUGCANCUGNCGCUGNGCNCGAAANUUGGGGAGCCUUAUAAGGAGANACCCNNNNANUCCACACAAAAAANCGGUCCUGUUUUGGGGGUGGGGGGUAUCGACCCCUUCUGUGCCCGAGGAAACACAAUAAGCAUUCCGCCCUGGGGAGGACGGUCGCAAGAUUAAAACUCAAAGAAAUUGACGGGGGCCCGCACAAGCAGCGGAGCAUGUGGUUUAAUUCGAAGCAACGCGAAGAACCUUACCAGGUCUUGACAUCCAGUUAAAGCUGUAGAGAUACAGUGUGCCUUCGGGCGAACUGAGACAGGUGGUGCAUGGUUGUCGUCAGCUCGUGUCGUGAGAUGUUGGGUUAAGUGCCAUAACGAGCGCAACCCUCGCCGUUAGUUGCCAUCGGGUCAUGCCGGGCACUCUAUUGGGACUGCCAUCGUAAGAUGUGAGGAAGGUG